rnacentral:rRNA from 1 species
GACGAACGCUGGCGGCGCGCCUAACACAUGCAAGUCGAACGGAGUUAAGAGGAGCUUGCUUUUCUUGACUUAGUGGCGAACGGGUGAGUAACGCGUGAGUAACCUGCCCUGGAGUGGGGGACAACAGUUGGAAACGACUGCUAAUACCGCAUAAGCCCACGGAUCCGCAUGGAUCUGCGGGAAAAGGAUUUAUUCGCUUCAGGAUGGACUCGCGUCCAAUUAGCUAGUUGGUGAGGUAACGGCCCACCAAGGCGACGAUUGGUAGCCGGACUGAGAGGUUGAACGGCCACAUUGGGACUGAGACACGGCCCAGACUCCUACGGGAGGCAGCAGUGGGGGAUAUUGCACAAUGGGGGAAACCCUGAUGCAGCGACGCCGCGUGGAGGAAGAAGGUUUUCGGAUUGUAAACUCCUGUCGUUAGGGACGAUAAUGACGGUACCUAACAAGAAAGCACCGGCUAACUACGUG